UACUAUGUUACGACUUAUUAAAUAACGAGAGCGACGGGCGAUGUGUACAUAUUAUAGAACCAAUACCAUUUGUACAAUCUCAACAAAUUACUAUCAAAUCCAAUUUCAUGUUAGUAAAUUUCAACCAACAAUCCAAUAACAAAUUUAAAUGUAAUCCAUCUCCACUUAAUUAUAAACUGCACCUUGACCUGAAAUAUUAUCAAACAAGAAAUCAAGAAAAUUACAACCCUAAAAAGAUCUUCGUUAAACGGCGGUAUACAAACAAAAAUUAAGUAAGGUCCAACGCGGACUAUCGAUUACGGGACAGAUUCCUCUGAAAGGAGUAAAAUACCGCCAAAUUCUUUAAGUUUCAAGAACAUAUCUAAUACUACUCAGGUUUAAAUAAUUUACAUCAUAAUAUAGGGUAUCUAAUCCUAGUUU
rnacentral:rRNA from 1 species